AAAUAACUUAACUUUUCAGGCAUAAAGGGAUGAGGGUGUAUUCGCCCACAAUAUAAUCCCACUGGUGCCUUCUAUAAUGUUAAAAAACGCAAGGCAGUAUAUACGUACGUGAAUUUCUGAACCAGAUUGCAUGGAAGGAAAGAUAAGUUAUGAUUACAAAAAAUUUGUAAAAUUAGCUAAUCUGAUGAUGUAUAAAUCUUUUGCUUUCUUCUGCAACGCUCCCCUAGAAUUAUCUGACAUAUUAGCCGCUAUCCUGAUCCUUAUAUGUGAAUUUUAUCUUUUUUUUUUCCUCUUCAAUUUGAACAACGUGUUGCAUGGGCGAUCUCAAAUGUUCACCUGACAUGUAUAACUUACAAAUGCAGAACAGCCUUAUUGGGACAUGAAGCAUGUAAUUACUAUACGUUGCUCAAUCAAUGUGACAUAGAAGGCAAGUGUUAGGCACUGACAAACUUUAAAGCAGAGGCAAUGUUGAUUCUUUUGCUGAUUAGCAAUGUGCAUAUUUGUUCAUGUUGGAAGUAAAAUCAUGCAGCGAAACAAACAAGAAAGAGAAAAUGAAGCAAAAAGAAAGAACACUAGUAUUUAACGUGGAAAAAUCAGCAAAAAAACCUCGAAGCCACACAACACCAAGAAAUUCACUAUGAAAAUUUGGUAGAAAUUAUACAAAUCUAUUAUCUCACACUUUCUCGUUAUCUCUCUUUACUUUUGCCCCAUUCUAUUUCAGAAAUAACAAAGAGAUAUGAUUAAA